UAUACGCUAAGCUUAAAGCAUAUAUUUGGAGGGGCUUUCAAAACCCAGAUGCAGAGCCCAUUGGACCGACUUCUUUAAGUCUUAAACCAUGUAAUGGAAGUACACACACUAAAAAAAAGGAAAAUAAUGAAAACAAUAAGCCUCUACCAGAAAACCCUAACCGAUCUGCUCCCAUCUUAUUAAAACCCUAGGGCGCCUCUUCUCUCCAGCCAACAACCCUUCCUCUUAAAAAUUUGCUUCAUUAUUUGCCUCUUUGAGUAGCCAUGUGAAUGAAAUCCAAGUUUCGCAAUUGGCUUAGUUAGGAGGCAGAAAUCGAUUCGAAAAACAGAGAUAUCGGGUUCCUGAUGUUUCUGGUCGAUUUAACCAAGGCCUUUUUGAGGGGACUCUUGGCUUCUCUUUCUUCACCCGUUGUCCCCCAAGCAGCCUUGGACAUUUUCCCUAAUUUUUACGAUUUUUUUGGGGGUGAAUAUAAUAAUAUAUAGUGUUAACAAGAAUGCCUCUCGAAUAACCAGAAGGUUAGAUUGUAAUCCGACGCCGUUUGGUUCAGACAGAGGCUGAGAUCAACUCGAACCAGUUUGAGGGUUAGAGUCUGAUUUCCUCUUCAAACUUGCACAAAUAUUAGACCCGGUUGCCAAGGCGGUAUUACAAACCAUUCCAUGUGACAAGCAAGUCCGCCCCUCACCGGACCAUCUCCUCUAUGUUUGCUGUCCCUCCAACCCCAUCGAAUACAGUGUUUCUACUUCGUAUUCGAUGGAGUCCUUUCCCCCUGAGUAACUUAAUUAAUGCCCCUAUCCAUAGGUUCUGAGCAAGACCAUCAAGCAUCUAUAUCUAGAUGUUGUAUUGCAUAUUCGGCUUUUUUAUAAAAAUAAUUUUUAAUUAUAAAAA